AAUACAACGAUGAUGAGGAGUAGUAGAAAGAACUCUGUUUUAGAGAGCGUAUGGCUGGUGAAAAUGCGCACAGAAGCUUUUGAACUCGCCUUGAAGUUGCUCUUUGCUGAAAUGAAGUAGGUGAGGACGGCGGCGGCUGUUAAAACGCUCGAGAUUCGUCUGCUUAAAAGACGAAUGAACUUAGGUGGUACCACGUUGAUCACAACGUCCUAUGG
rnacentral:ncRNA from 1 species